CUACGGGGCGCUGCAGUGGGGAAUAUUGGACAAUGGGCGCAAGCCUGAUCCAGCCACGCCGCGUGAAGGAAGAAGGUCUUCGGAUCGUAAACUUCUGUUGAGAGGGAAGAAAGGACGCUGAAGAGGCGUAGAUGACGGUACCUCUUUAGAAAGCACCGGCUAACUCCGUGCCAGCAGCCGCGGAUAAUACGGAGGGUGCGAACGUUGCUCGGAAUCACUGGGCGUAAAGAGCUCGUAGGCUGUUGUACAAGUUAGGUGUGAAAUCCCCGGGCUUAACCUGGGAAGUGCACUUAAAACUGUGCAGCUUGAGUAUAGUAGAGGAUAGCGGAAUUCCCGGUGUAGAGGUGAAAUUCGUAGAUAUCGGGAGGAACAUCUGAGGCGAAGGCGGCUAUCUGGGCUAGAACUGACGCUGAGGAGCGAAAGCGUGGGGAGCAAACAGGAUUAGAUACCCGGGUAGUC
rnacentral:rRNA from 1 species